rnacentral:rRNA from 1 species
AAACACUUGACGUCAGACUUGCGUUUUGGAGUUCAGCCGCAAGGUGUAUUCUUCAAUUGGCAGGCCAGCAUCAGUUUUCGGGGGUGGAAAAUCGUGGUUUGAAGGUAGCAGUUUCGGCUGUGUUAUAGCUUUCCACUGGAUUCAUCUUUGGGGACUGAGGAACGCAGUACGCUUUUAGCGAAGCUCUCGAGCUUUUCGUACUUAGGAUGCUGGUGGAAUGGCGUUAAAUGA